AGCAGUGUGGUGUAGUGGUUGCAAGUUGGGCUCGUGAUCGAAAGGCUGCCGGUUCGAUUCCCUGUUGGGGCACUGCCA